rnacentral:rRNA from 1 species
GGGAUUGCCCUAGUAACGGCGAGUGAAGCGGCAACAGCUCAAAUUUGAAAUCUGGCCCCAGGCCCGAGUUGUAAUUUGCAGAGGAUGCUUUUGGCAAAGCGCUUACCGAGUCCCCUGGAACGGGGCGCCACAGAGGGUGAGAGCCCCGUAUGGUAUGACGCCGAGCCUCUGUAAAGCUCCUUCGACGAGUCGAGUAGUUUGGGAAUGCUGCUCUAAAUGGGAGGUAAAUUUCUUCUAAAGCUAAAUACCGGCCAGAGACCGAUAGCGCACAAGUAGAGUGAUCGAAAGAUGAAAAGCACUUUGAAAAGAGGGUUAAAUAGCACGUGAAAUUGUUGAAAGGGAAGCGCUCGUGACCAGACUUGCGCCGGGCGGAUCAUCCAGCGUUCUCGCUGGUGCACUCCGCCCGGCUCAGGCCAGCAUCGGUUUUCGCCGGGGGACAAAAGCUUCGGGAACGUGGCUCCCUUCGGGGAGUGUUAUAGCCCGUCGUUUAAUACCCCGGCGGGGACCGAGGACCGCGCUUCGGCAAGGAUGCUGGCGUAAUGGUCAUCAGCGACCCGUCUUGAAACACGGACCGAGGAGUCAAGCAUUAGUGCGAGUGUUUGGGUGUAAAACCCGCACGCGUAAUGAAAGUGAACGUAGGUGAGAGCUUCGGCGCAUCAUCGACCGAUCCUGAUGUUUUCGGAUGGAUUUGAGUAGGAGCAUUAACGCUUGGACCCGAAAGAUGGUGAACUAUACUUGAAUAGGGUGAAGCCAGAGGAAACUCUGGUGGAGGCUCGCAGCGGUUCUGACGUGCAAAUCGAUCGUCAAAUUUG